CUAUGGCUCUAUUUAUAGAGGAGAUCCCUCCUCUCUCCCUUCCACCGAAGAUCCUAAGCCCAGUCGGCAACAAUCACCGAAAAACCACCGUGGAAGACCAACCUAUGCCCGUCCAAUUUGCUCGCCGGAAAAGCCUCACCGGCGUCGGAGGUAAGCCUCAUUCCCUUCCUCUCUUCUCUCCUUUCCUUUUCAUGCCAGUGUGCAUGCUCGCC
rnacentral:lncRNA from 1 species